GUGAGGAAUUUUCCGCAAUGGGCGAAAGCCUGACGGAGCAAUGCCGCGUGAAGGAUGAAGGCCUAUGGGUUGUAAACUUCUUUUCUCAGAAAAGAAUUAUGACGGUAUCUGAGGAAUAAGCAUCGGCUAACUCUGUGCCAGCAGCCGCGGUAAGACAGAGGAUGCAAGCGUUAUCCGGAAUGAUUGGGCGUAAAGCGUCUGUAGGUUGUUUAAAAAGUAUUCUGUCAAAGAUUAGGGCUUAACCCUAGAUAGGAAGAAUAAACUUUUAAGCUAGAGUUUGGUAGAGGCAGAGGGAAUUCCCGGUGGAGCGGUGAAAUGCGUAGAUAUCGGGAGGAACACCAAAGGCGAAGGCACUCUGCUGGGCCAAUACUAACACUGAGAGACGAAAGCGAGGGGAGCAAAUGGGAUUAGAUACCCCAGUAGUCC
rnacentral:rRNA from 1 species